rnacentral:rRNA from 1 species
UUGUACACACCGCCCGUCGCUACUACCGAUUGAAUGGCUCAGUGAGGCUUUCGGACUGAUCUAGGGCGGGGUUCAUUCGCCGCCUCUGGUCGGAAAGUUAUCCAAACUCGGUCAUUUAGAGGAAGUAAAAGUCGUAACAAGGUCUCCGUUGGUGAACCAGCGGAGGGAUCAUUA